CCCUCCUUCCUAGCUGCUUGCAAGGGGACGAGGGUGCAAGGGCGCCACACGCCACGCACACGUACCACGCUCCGUCCUCAUCCGCCUCCCUCUCCGCUAGUUAGCCCGCGCGCAGCUCGUGUGUAGGCGGUGACGCGACCUCACCACGGAUCCACGGCUUCCUCCGCAGCACCGCCUCGCAGGACGCUGCCGAGUUCUUCGUCAACGACCUCCUCAAUGUCUGGGCCGACCUCGUCCCCUUCCGCCUGGGCUGCUCGGCCGCCGAAGAGGGCAACGAGGACAGCCGCGCCCCGGACCUCCCCUUCAUCCCUAGCGCUACCCUGCCCGGGAACCUACAACACGGCGGCGUCCGCGACGUUCAUGUCUCCGGCUCCUACAACGGGCUCCUGCUCCUCUGGUGCCCGAUCCACCACCCAGUGGGGGCACUGCGCCUGCAACCCGCACGUUCUGGAACGGGAGCUACUUCAGUAAAGCAUAGGUAUAUGCAUGGUGGUCACGGUGGCAGACACAGGAUUCAGAGAGUAAUCACAACACUCAGUUCUUACUUAGCAAGGUGAUUUAAAGGGUUAAAGAACUGCUAGUUAGAAUAGAAGAGAAGCCUCGCAGAGUAGAAAUCAUUGGUAGCCAAAUGUGCUGCCACAACACUCUCAUCAAAACUGAUAGGUGGUGCAAAAGAAUUCUUUGCUUCCUUAGUUGUUGCUGGUGGUUCAUACUCUUGAUGAAAUCUAUUUUUUGUUGUUUCUGGUGUAUUUUGUUGUCUAUGAUCCUGCAAUGCUAGACUGCUAGUUUUGAUACAUGGAAAAAAAUGUAUUGAUCCAUUAUUCUGGUGUCAUGAUGCUGGGAUGCUAACAUUAUUGAUAUGAGGUUAUAAUUUGGGUUGUAAUAGCUUAUUGUGACUUUUGGGCUGGAAUUUUUGUUUUGGUAAA